UUCUGGUUGAUCCUGCCGGACCUGAUUGCUAUCGGAUUGAUACUAAGCCAUGCGAGUCUUUGCAGUAAUGCAAGGCGGACUGCUCAGUAACACGUAGUCAACUUAACCUAUGGAUGGGUAUAACCUCGGGAAACUGAGAAUAAUUCCCAAUAGAUCAUUUAUCCUGGAAUGGUUAGUGAUUGAAAUGAUUCGUCGCCAUAGGAUAGGACUGCGGCCUAUCAGCUUGUUGGUGAGGUAAAGGCCCACCAAGGCUAUUACAGGUACGGGCUCUGAGAGAAGAAGCCCGGAGAUGGGUACUGAGACACGGACCCAGGCCCUAUGGGGCGCAGCAGGCGAGAAAACUUUGCAAUGUGCGAAAGCACGACAAGGUUAACCCGAGUGAUUUCUGCUAAAGAAAUCUUUUGCCAGU
rnacentral:rRNA from 1 species